UACGUAGGGCGCAAGCGUUGUCCGGAAUUAUUGGGCGUAAAGAGCUCGUAGGCGGUCUGUUACGUCCGCUGUGAAAACCCAGGGCUUAACCCUGGCUUGCAGUGGAUACGGGUAGACUAGAGGCAGGUAGGGGGAGAAUGGAAUUUCCGGUGUAGCGGUGAAAUGCGUAGAUAUCGGAAGGAACAUCAGUGGCGAAAGCGACUCCUGGACCAGUACCGACGUCAGGCACGAAAGCGUGGGGAGCAAACAGGG
rnacentral:rRNA from 1 species